rnacentral:lncRNA from 1 species
UGAUGUGAUGCAUUUCAUGAAAGCAUGAAUUUUAAUAUAAUGUUUUACUAUUCUGCUCACUGGGCUCUAGUAGCUCACUCCUUUCCCUUAACCCCCAGGUUUGCAGGUGCGGGCUAGACCAGGAAGUCACCAGGAUUAGAAGUUUAUGUAUGUAAUAGAUUAGUUGUGGACAUGAAAGACAAUGUAAUGUAAUGUAAUGUAAAGUAUUGUGUAAUGAUAUAUAUUGAGGUUUAGUAUUGUGCUUGACCCUAAUAUGUAUAGUUAAUCCCUUUGCACAUGAUCUAUGAAAUGUUUUUAUGAUGUUUUAUGUAAACCAAGCUUAGUAUAUGUUAUGUUACCCCAUUGAAGCAUUUGAUGAGGGCUCCAGUGUGGGGUUUAUGUUCAUAAGUAUGAGUAUG